rnacentral:pre_miRNA from 1 species
UGUGCACCAGUGGGGUCCCUCAGCCUGGCCUGCAUCCUCUCACAAUCUGGGACCCCUCGGGGGAUGUCGGAGAGCCAGUUUUGGCCCAAUCCCGCAGGCCAGGCUGAGGGACCUCACUGGUGCACG